GUGAUUUGAAGGCUAGUAGUUACACAUCACCCCAGCCAGCGGCCAAUGGUAGCUGCACGCCGGACGUGCAUUUGAGAGGAAACGUGAAAAAUGCGACGGAUGUUGUUGCCAUGGGUGUUGGGGCAACAGCGGAGGAGGUGGGAAGUGAAUAAAUGAAAUGAAUACAUGAAAUAUCUGGUGUGGCACCUACAUCUGCUUCCAGGUCCAUCAUGGCCAUACAGAGUGCUCCUUUGGAUAACAGACAAUCAAGUGAAAUUUACAGAAUUUACCAACCCUCCACCAUAUAACCCUCCACCCAUUUUAUAGAGUGGACCACCUCAUGUCAGCUCCCCUGGCUGUGAGACUCCUCCAUUUCUGGUGGGAGGGGUAGCGUCAGGAGGCCCAGAACUUUUUGCUACGCCCCCAAACGCACGUGACGAUGUGGAGUGACACGUUGUGCAGUGUGACGUUGCCGUAAAACGACAGCAGCUUAUUUAGUACAUGUCAGUAUUUAAAUGCUGUUUUGUAAAAGUUUGCCUUCAGCCUUUUAAUUCUGCCAGUCAGAGGCUUAAAAAAAUAGUGAUUAUUUAAAUUCAGGACAUACUGUUUUGGCUAAGAGAAACAAAUAUUUAUGAAGGCUCAGUGAGUAAUACUCCAUGCUGAAACCUCCAGGUACUCCCACCCUAACUGUGUGUGGAUAUGGCAUGUUCUCCCUGACAUGCUCUCCCACAGGCAGGUUGGGUGUCUCUUAAAAUGUCUGUCGUGUGAAUGUGCCAUGAUAAACUGGCAUCCCGUCCAUGGUGCACAUUCUGGAACAGACUCCAGGCUUAACGUGACUCUACUUUGAAUAAGUGGUUUAGGAAGACGGAUGAAUUUAAAUCCUGAAAUAAACAGUUGAAAUUUAAAACAUAGAAUGUCCCUAAUAUGUAUUUUAAAACUAUUACUAUACAAGUUAUUUUAGGUAUACAAGUAUAAACAUUUCAGAGCUCUGUUAAAGCUCUCAUGGUACUACAUACUAUAUCAAAAGGACAAGUUUGAACAAUGUCUCUUAUUCAAGGACACCAGUGAAAUGAUGGAAGUAAGGUAAAUCACAGCAACAGAAUCUUUGUAAUGUUUUAUUUGUUUCGCUUCAAUGGGUUUUACACCAUAUUUCAGGAACCAAAGCAAUUAACUAUAACAUAAAAUGCCACAUAAUAUAUUCACAAAUAAAACAUUCUAAAUGGUUACACUGAAAACAAAUGAAAUCCAAUAGGGGGAUCUUUAUUGUAUUAUUUUUGCAAACUGGAUGGACUACUGUGUUACAGACGGAAUAUGUUGCUACAGCAGUUCAGACGUGGUACCCACAGUAAUGUAUACUAGGGUUCUCUGUGGCACACAUAACACAGGCUUUUAUUCGCAGGGCAUUCCAAGCAAAAGAUGCAAGGACAUCCUGUUUCCAUGCCAGAGGUCAUAGUGUAUGCAAAUGGCUGCAAUAUAAAUGACAGCGUAAUGGAAAAAAGUUUGAAAAAAACCCAAAGUCAUAUUAGUAAGAUUAUAUACAAACUUUUAAAUUUUAUGAACACAUACAAAGAUGCGAAAAGUAAGGCAAAGUUAUAACCGUUAAAGUGAGUCUGCCUUCUGCUGUCUGCUUGGGGAUCGCUUCUCUGUUAGCUGUGUUGCAGCUAUAUCUAAGCUGUUCGCUCAAACUGAAGCAUCGUCAUAGCAAGUCUCCCUUACAGAAUCAUUGUCUUUCAAAUGUCCACAAACGCUGACUCGAUUCAAAUAACACAGUCUUUGUUUUGGUGUGAAAUGGAGGCAUUGUGGAUCUAAACUGAGUAUUUCCGAACCGACUGAAAAUAACAGGCGUUUGUACAUUAGCAUUGCUUGGUGAAAAUGAACUUUGCCAUAACCCAUGCAAUAUGCAAUGAGGUGUUUAUUUUUUACAUUUAUGGGAACAAAGUGCAAACCUAAAACUGCCGACACAAUCAAGAGCACCUUUUCUAGGUAUUCUAGCUUAUGCAAGUCUGUAGAAUUCUAGAUGUUAGACAGAUUAACAGUGCAUUGCAAGGGGAUGAGUACUUGUUUGCUCAACUAUUCUCAUUCGUUAAACAAACUGA